UACGGGAGGCAGCAGUGGGGAAUAUUGCACAAUGGGCGAAAGCCUGAUGCAGCUAUGCCGCGUGUAUGAAGAAGGCCUUAGGGUUGUAAAGUACUUUCAUCGGGGAGGAAAAAACAAAACUAAUAAUUUUAUUUCUUGACGUUACCCGAAAAAGAAGCACCGGCUAACUCCGUGCCAGCAGCCGCGGUAAUACGGAGGGUGCUAGCGUUAAUCAGAAUUACUGGGCGUAAAGAGCACGUAGGUGGUUUUUUUAAAGUCAGAUGUGAAAUCCCUGGGCUUAACCUAGGAACUGCAUUUUGAAACUGAAAUACUAGAGUAUCGUAGAGGGAGGUAGAAUUCUAGGUGUAGCGGUGAAAUGCGUAGAUAUCUGGAGGAAUACCUGUGGCAAAAGCGGCCUCCUAAACGAAUACUGACACUGAGGUGCGAAAGCGUGGGGAGCAAACAGGGAUUAGAUACC
rnacentral:rRNA from 1 species